UACGAAGGGGGCUAGCGUUGCUCGGAAUCACUGGGCGUAAAGCGCACGUAGGCGGAUUGCUAAGUCAGGGGUGAAAUCCUGGAGCUCAACUCCAGAACUGCCUUUGAUACUGGCGACCUUGAGUCCGGGAGAGGUGAGUGGAACUGCGAGUGUAGAGGUGAAAUUCGUAGAUAUUCGCAAGAACACCAGUGGCGAAGGCGGCUCACUGGCCCGAAACUGACGCUGAGGCACGAAAGCGUGGGGGAGCAAACAGG
rnacentral:rRNA from 1 species